rnacentral:rRNA from 1 species
AGCAGCAGCCGCGGUAAUACGGAGGGUGCAAGCGUUAAUCGGAAUUACUGGGCGUAAAGCGUGCGUAGGCGGCUUCUUAAGUCGGAUGUGAAAUCCCUGAGCUUAACUUAGGAAUUGCAUUCGAUACUGGGAAGCUAGAGUAUGGGAGAGGAUGGUAGAAUUCCAGGUGUAGCGGUGAAAUGCGUAGAGAUCUGGAGGAAUACCGAUGGCGAAGGCAGCCAUCUGGCCUAAUACUGACGCUGAGGUACGAAAGCAUGGGGAGCAAACAGGAUUAGAUACCCCCGUAGUCCCUGUCUCUUAUAC